rnacentral:rRNA from 1 species
CCAGACAGCCAGGAUGUUGGCUUAGAAGCAGCCAUCAUUUAAAGAAAGCGUAAUAGCUCACUGGUCGAGUCGGCCUGCGCGGAAGAUGUAACGGGGCUAAACCAUGCACCGAAGCUGCGGCAGCGACGCUUAUGCGUUGUUGGGUAGGGGAGCGUUCUGUAAGCCUGUGAAGGUGGCCUGUGAGGGUUGCUGGAGGUAUCAGAAGUGCGAAUGCUGACAUAAGUAACGAUAAAGCGGGUGAAAAGCCCGCUCGCCGGAAGACCAAGGGUUCCUGUCCAACGUUAAUCGGGGCAGGGUGAGUCGACCCCUAAGGCGAGGCCGAAAGGCGUAGUCGAUGGGAAACAGGUUAAUAUUCCUGUACUUGGUGUUACUGCGAAGGGGGGACGGAGAAGGCUAUGUUGGCCGGGCGACGGUUGUCCCGGUUUAAGCGUGUAGGCUGGUUUUCCAGGCAAAUCCGGAAAACCAAGGCUGAGGCGUGAUGACGAGGCACUACGGUGCUGAAGCGACAAAUGCCCUGCUUCCAGGAAAAGCCUCUAAGCAUCAGGUAACAUCAAAUCGUACCCCAAACCGACACAGGUGGUCAGGUAGAGAAUACCAAGGCGCUUGAGAGAACUCGGGUGAAGGAACUAGGCAAAAUGGUGCCGUAACUUCGGGAGAAGGCACGCUGAUAUGUAGGUGAAGCGACUUGCUCGUGGAGCUGAAAUCAGUCGAAGAUACCAGCUGGCUGCAACUGUUUAUUAAAAACACAGCACUGUGCAAACACGAAAGUGGACGUAUACGGUGUGACGCCUGCCCGGUGCCGGAAGGUUAAUUGAUGGGGUUAGCGGUAACGCGAAGCUCUUGAUCGAAGCCCCGGUAAACGGCGGCCGUAACUAUAACGGUCCUAAGGUAGCGAAAUUCCUUGUCGGGUAAGUUCCGACCUGCACGAAUGGCGUAAUGAUGGCCAGGCUGUCUCCACCCGAGACUCAGUGAAAUUGAACUCGCUGUGAAGAUGCAGUGUACCCGCGGCAAGACGGAAAGACCCCGUGAACCUUUACUAUAGCUUGACACUGAACAUUGAGCCUUGAUGUGUAGGAUAGGUGGGAGGCUUUGAAGUGUGGACGCCAGUCUGCAUGGAGCCGACCUUGAAAUACCACCCUUUAAUGUUUGAUGUUCUAACGU